rnacentral:rRNA from 1 species
GACGAUCAAAAAAGAAAGCACUGGUUUUCUUUGUGGAGAAUGUGCAUUCCAAAGAAGAUGGGAGGCAUGGGGUUUCGGGACCUACACUCUUUUAACAUGGCUAUGUUGUCUAAACAAACUUGGAGGCUCCUGAAUAACCCAGACUCACUAUGUGCUCAAGUAUUGAAGGCUAAAUAUUUCCCUGGCGGAAACUUGUUGAACACUGGACCUAAGAAGGGCUCUUCUAUUACAUGGCAAAGUAUCUUUGCGGGUUUGCAAACCUUCAUGCGUGGCCACAUUUGGAGAGUGGGGUCUAGAGCAAAGAUCAAUAUUUGGGAGGACCACUGGAUCCCAAAUAGCCCCUCUAGGAAGAUCAUAACUAGAAGAGGUAAUUGA